AUUAAUCUACAUCAUUAUAUUAGUCAAUGUGUUGUGGUCAUUGAGACCCUGUGUCUAAAUCAAGCAGUCUUAAUAAGUUUAUUCGAUUCCAGAAAAAACCCACAGUCCGUCAAAAAGGGAUCUGUCACCUCUCUUAAUGAAACCAAGCCCAAACCGUCCAGGAAAUGCGAUUACUUCCCCAAACUUUACCAUUGACCCAAGCGUGAACUUUGGCUGUCCGGCUCCCGCGUGUCCAGCUCACAGUUGCUCUACCACUCCCGCUGCCUACAUUCAAACCACUUGAACUGCCAUCGUUGUGAUCCAAGGAAACAUGAAAAGCGCCUUUCGGAACACUGUAGUAGAAAUCGCGUUUCUUCCCAAACCAGCC